UGGGGAAUAUUGGACAAUGGGCGCAAGCCUGUUCCAGCCAUGCCGCGUGAGUGAUGAAGGCCCUAGGGUUGUAAAGCUCUUUCACCGGUGAAGAUAAUGACGGUAACCGGAGAAGAAGCCCCGGCUAACUUCGUGCCAGCAGCCGCGGUAAUACGAAGGGGGCUAGCGUUGUUCGGAUUUACUGGGCGUAAAGCGCACGUAGGCGGACUAUUAAGUCAGGGGUGAAAUCCCGGGGCUCAACCCCGGAACUGCCUUUGAUACUGGUAGUCUUGAGUUCGAGAGAGGUGAGUGGAAUUCCGAGUGUAGAGGUGAAAUUCGUAGAUAUUCGGAGGAACACCAGUGGCGAAGGCGGCUCACUGGCUCGAUACUGACGCUGAGGUGCGAAAGCGUGGGGAGCAAACAGG
rnacentral:rRNA from 1 species